GCUGGGAGUGGUGGUACACACCUGUAAUCCCAGCAACUGGGAGGCUGAGGCAAGAGAAUUACAAGUUCAAGACCAGCCUGGGAAACCUAUUGAGCCUUGUCUCAA
rnacentral:sRNA from 1 species